rnacentral:piRNA from 1 species
UGAGUCACUGGAGAUAGGACCUAGCCUC